rnacentral:rRNA from 1 species
GACGAACCGUGCGAACGUUAUUCGGAAUUACUGGGCGUAAAGCGUGCGUAGGCGGUUUGUUAAGUCUGCUGUGAAAUCCCCGGGCUCAACCUGGGAACUGCAUCCAAAACUGGCGAGCUAGAGUAUGGUAGAGGGUGGUGGAAUUUCCUGUGUAGCGGUGAAAUGCGUAGAUAUAGGAAGGAACACCAGUGGCGAAGGCGACCACCUGGACUGAUACUGACACUGAGGUGCGAAAGCGUGGGGAGCAAACAGG